rnacentral:rRNA from 1 species
UUCUCUGUAGAGUCUGCAUAUCAAUAAGCGGAGGAAAAGAAACUAACAAGGAUUCCCCUAGUAACGGCGAGUGAAGCGGGAAGAGCUCAAAUUUGAAAUCUUCAAGGUUUGACCUUGACGAAUUGUAGUUUAAAGAAGUGUUUUCGGUUAGAGGAGUAGUAAAAGUUCUUUGGAAUAGGACAUCAUAGAGGGUGAGAAUCCCGUAUUUGACUAUUCUUUCUAGCUUUGUGAUACACUUUCAAAGAGUCGGAUUGUUUGGGAAUGCAGUCCAAAAUGGGUGGUAAAUUUCAUCUAAAGCUAAAUAUUGGCGAGAGACCGAUAGCGAACAAGUACCGUGAGGGAAAGAUGAAAAGAACUUUGAAAAGAGAGUUAAACAGUACGUGAAAUUGUCAAAAGGGAAGCGUUUGACACCAGUGUUGUUUUUCCGAAAAUCAAUUAAAAAUUGAUUCAUGCCAGGUUGUAUUGACCUUAUCAGCUUGCAAUUUGGUUUUGGGUCUCUUUUUGAUGCACUUUUCGGUUAACAAGUCAACAUCAAUUUCCUUUGCUGUAAAAAGGUAAGAGGAAGGUGGCUUCAAUUUCGGUUGAAGUGUUUAUAGCCUUUUAUCUCUGCAGUCGGGGAGAUUGAGGUCUGCAGCGUAGAUCCUUCGGGGCUAGAUACAUUUAUGCUAAGUUAUAGCUUUUCAUAGACAACUUGUUGACUAUGUUUAGUCAUGUAGCUUACUCGUAAGUGCUAUUUUACCUACGCUUAGGAUGUUGAGCGCAUGUCUCUCUCU